rfam:Ipomoea nil DNA, scaffold: scaffold3056, cultivar: Tokyo-kokei standard.
GCCCGUCUAGCUCAGUCGGUAGAGCGCAAGGCUCUUAACCUUGUGGUCCUGGGUUCAAAUCCCAAGGUGGGCG